AAGUCGUAACAAGGUUUCCGUAGGUGAACCUGCGGAAGGAUCAUUAUCGUAUAAAAUGGAGGUGCUCGGGCUGUCGCUGACCUUUGAAAAAGGUCGUGCACGCCCGGAACGCUCUNUCAUAUCCAUCUCACCCCUUUGUGCAUUGCCGCGUGGGUCCCCUUUUGGCUUGUUCCGAGGGGGUGACCUGCGUUUUUACAUAGACACCCUUUGAAUGCAUGUAUAGAACGUCUUACUUUUUGCGAUCACACGCAAUAAUACAACUUUCAACAACGGAUCUCUUGGCUCUCGCAUCGAUGAAGAACGCAGCGAAAUGCGAUACGUAAUGUGAAUUGCAGAAUUCAGUGAAUCAUCGAAUCUUUGAACGCACCUUGCGCCCCUUGGUAUUCCGAGGGGCACACCCGUUUAGUGUCGUGAAUACUCUCAACCUUCUUGGUUUCUUUGACCACGAAGGCUUGGACUUUGGAGGUUUUUCUUGCUGGCCUCUUUUGAAGCCAGCUCCUCCUAAAUGAAUGGGUGGGGUCCGCUUUGCUGAUCCUCGACGUGAUAAGCAUUUCUUCUACGUCUCAGUGUCAGCUCGGAACCCGCUUUCCAACCGUCUUUGGACAAAGACAAUGUUCGAGUUGUGACUCGACCUACAAACCUGACCUCAA
rnacentral:rRNA from 1 species